rnacentral:tRNA from 1 species
AUGACCCUAGCUCAAUUGGUAGAGCCCCUGACUCCAAAUCAGGGAGGUCCAGGUUCGAGCCCUGGGGGUUGUG